rnacentral:rRNA from 1 species
UAAGGAAUAUUGGACAAUGGUGGCAACACUGAUCCAGCCAUGCCGCGUGAAGGAUGAAGGCCCUAUGGGUUGUAAACUUCUUUUGUACGGGAAAAAACCUUCUUACGUGUAAGAAGCUGAUUGUACUGUAAGAAUAAGGAUCGGCUAACUCCGUGCCAGCAGCCGCGGUAAUACGGAGGAUCCAAGCGUCAUCCGGAUUCAUUGGGUUUAAAGGGUGCGUAGGCGGAAUGAUAAGUCAGUGGUGAAAUCUCUCAGCUUAACUGGGAAACUGCCAUUGAUACUGUCAAUCUUGAGUACAUUUGAUGAGGGCGGAAUGUGUCGUGUAGCGGUGAAAUGCUUAGAUAUGACACAGAACACCGAUUGCGAAGGCAGCUCUCAAAACUGUAACUGACGCUGAGGCACGAAAGCGUGGGUAUCAAACAG